GACAGAGGAUGCAAGCGUUAUCCGGAAUUAUUGGGCGUAAAGCGUCUGUAGGUGGCUUUUUAAGUCCGCCGUCAAAUCCCAGGGCUCAACUCUGGACAGGCGGUGGAAACUACCAAGCUGGAGUACGGUAGGGGCAGAGGGAAUUUCCGGUGGAGCGGUGAAAUGCGCAGAUAUCGGGAAGAACACCCGUGGCGAAGGCGGCUCUCUGGGACGGUACUGACGCUGAGACGCGAAAGCGUGGGGAGCAAACAGG
rnacentral:rRNA from 1 species